rnacentral:rRNA from 1 species
GACGAACGCUGGCGGCGUGCUUAACACAUGCAAGUCGAACGGUGAAGGGACCAGCUUGCUGGUUCUGGAUGAGUGGCGAACGGGUGAGUAACACGUGAGUAACCUGCCCCCUUCUUCUGGAUAACCGCAUGAAAGUGUGGCUAAUACGGGAUAUUCUGGGUCUGUCGCAUGGCGGGCCCGGGAAAGAUAUUGCUUCGGUGGGGGAUGGGCUCGCGGCCUAUCAGCUUGUUGGUGGGGUGAUGGCCUACCAAGGCGGUGACGGGUAGCCGUCCUGAGAGGGUGGACGGUCACACGGGGACUGAGACACGGCCCAGACGCCUACGGGAGGCAGCAGUGGGGAAUAUUGCACAAUGGGCGCAAGCCUGAUGCAGCGACGCCGCGUGAGGGAUGGAGGCCUUCGGGUUGUAAACCUCUUUCGCCAGUGAAGCAGGCCUGCUCCUUGUGGGUGGGUUGACGGUAGCUGGAUAAGAAGCGCCGGCUAACUACGUG